CGGGAAGUAGGUCAGCUUGGUAGAGCACAUGGUUUGGGACCAUGGGGUCGCAGGUUCGAAUCCUGUCUUCCCGACCA
rnacentral:tRNA from 1 species